AACCUACAAACACGGUUCAUAUUCAGUGA
rnacentral:sRNA from 1 species